rnacentral:lncRNA from 1 species
UAUGUCCUACAUGUGAGAUCUAUCCAUAAUUGAUAAAUCUAAAGUUUGGUUUAUCACAUUACAAUUAGGUGAUAUAACUCUUGUAUCUUAUCUAGGAUACAACAAGACAAUUUUCAAUUCAUAACACUACUUUAAGGAAAUAGUAUAUUAAAAGGGCAUACUUCACAUUACAUUAAUAUGAUAGUUCAAACAUUCAUAAUGUUUAAUACAAAAGGUAUUAGCUCUAUACAUUUAGAGACUAAUAUAAAUGCCUUUAUACAUUUAGGCACUAAUAGUGGCCUUCCAUCAAAUGAAGCCAUAUAAUUAGUUCUUAACAAAAUAAGAAAGUUUAAAGACAAUCUUUAAAUGCCUAACAAAACUUCCUAAGUAGUUAGCAAAAAACAUAGUGGCCGAACCCUUCACCACAUUUUCUUGCUUGUUCUUCUUCUACUUGGCUCCUCCACCUAUAUACAAUUAUACAAGUGAUUAGCCCUUUAUAUCAAAUAUAAAUAUUUAGAAGAUCUAACAAUUAGAAUUGAAGAUAAGAACACAAACCAUACCUUGUGGCUUGUCCUUAAGAGUUGCAAGGUAUAACCUGCAAUUCCUCUUCCAAUGCCCCUCAUUUCCACAGUGGUGGCAAGUCCCUUUGGGCUCCAUUGCCUUCUUUUUCGUCACUCCUCCUUUCGGCUUAGGAGUGGGGGACUUCUUCUCCUUCCCUUUGCCUUUGCCUUGCGGCUUGGCCUUGGAAGAGGAUGGCUUAUUGUAGGCUACUGCAGCAGUCCCUACAACGUUCUCUUUCUUCAUAGUCUUCUCGGCAGUUACUAACAUAUUUAGUAACUCGGAGAGAGUACUAUCCAUCUUAUUCAUAUUGUAGUUCAUUACGAACUGCGCAAAUGAAUCAGAAAGAGAAGCCAAUACGAAGUCCUGGGCCAAUUCCCCGUCAAGUGGAGUACCAAGGUUCU